rnacentral:rRNA from 1 species
UACGUAGGGUGCGGGCGUUGUCCGGAAUUAUUGGGCGUAAAGAGCUUGUAGGCGGUUUGUCGCGUCUGCUGUGAAAAUCCGGGGCUCAACCCCGGACUUGCAGUGGGUACGGGCAGGCUAGAGUGUGGUAGGGGAGACUGGAAUUCCUGGUGUAGCGGUGAAAUGCGCAGAUAUCAGGAGGAACACCGAUGGCGAAGGCAGGUCUCUGGGCCACUACUGACGCUGAGAAGCGAAAGCAUGGGGAGCGAACAGG